AAAGACAAAAUUAACACAAAUGCACUUUGAUGUCUGGUGUAAGUUUCCAUGUUUUAGCUGUACCUGUGACACAGGACACGAGAGAAUGUGCUCAUGUGAACACAAGUGAAGGACACCGUGGGGACUUGCCACACAGAUAUUUGUGCCCAGGGCACACCUGAAGGGACUCUGGACAGCAUGUUUACCAAAAUGCUGAUGGGUAUGAAAUUUACAUUCUAAAGGACACAUACAAAAAUAUAAGUUGGAGUGAAGGCAGUUCGCAUUUUCAAAUUGUAAGGAUACCCACAGAUUUUUCUGAGCACGUUAAAAUCCUCAAUAGAAGGAAACAGGAGAGGAAGACACAGCAAGAGCAAAGAUUCCACAUUGAGGAGAUCCACAAAGAAUGAGGCAAGAUCCCAGCACGUGGACUGUGUACAGGGCAUUUCUGCUGAAGCGCUAUGUCUGAUUUUCUGCAUACGGCCCCAUUCCUUCUCUAUAAGAGACGCCUGUACCAACCCAUGGUGGGGGAAAAGACGAAGAUGAGAUCCUGAGCAACUUGAGGAAUGUGGUAAUGGCAGCAGACACAUUCCCCUUGCAUCACAAUGGUCUGUGGUACCGCCUCUGCACCUUGGCCCAGGACCUAACAGCAACAAAAUAAGGAUCCAAGAGAGUAGCAUCAGUACCUGAAAACUCUGUCCCUGCCACUGGAUAGCACCUACAGCUUGGGGUAGUAGAUGCAAGAGGUUAACCUACUGCCACCACACAUCACUGCCCACGUCUGUGGAAGAAAAUGGCAACGGUCCUGUCCUAACGGGUUAACAGAAGUAAUUACAGAUUAAUGAAGUAGCAUUCUCCAGACAGGCAGCCAUCGAUGUCCAGGUUCACCCUGCAUCCCUCCUCUACGCCAACUCCAGAUGCUCUGCUUUUGCUAUAUUAAGAACACACAAAAAAUGAGUGGGAAUAAAUGGCUCAUAUUCUGCUCAUGGAAUCACAGCCACUCCUGGCAAAAUAUUCUGCAGCCGGACCCUCACUGUGCCUCCUCUGCUCCUCUCCCUGAGAAAGGAGUCUUCCCUCUUGAAGUGUUGUCAAAGGCCUCGGAGACCUCUGGGCAGUGGAGGAUGCCUGGAAUCUUGCAGGGGAAUGAGAGUCUUCUGUGAAGAACGAGUUACUUGUGGUGAAUGUCUACAAAGCUCAGAUGUGUUCAUCUUAAUUCAUAGGGAAUUCUGACUUUAAGCAUACGACAGGACACAGAGUCAUUAUGUGCAAUGGAAAAAAAGAGGGAGAAUUUCACAUAACAGAUUUCACGCAAGUGUUUUGGUAUAAAACUGGUAUGUGUCAUGAGACUAUAUCAGCUCUAACAGUGACUGGGGACACAACCAGAAACUGCUCAUAGAAACACAAUUGAAGGACACAGUGUUCAAAUUGUUUUUACCUAAGGUAUAGCUGGAGGAUUCCAGACAAGUCAUUUACCGACAAAGACGGACAGGUGAUGAGUGAUGAUAUUGGCUUUCUCUAUGACCACUCUAAAUGGCACAGGGCACAUAAUAGAAAGUUGGAGUCAUGAUGUCGUUUCUAACAGGUUCAUCUCCUAGCCAGAAUCAAGAAAGGAAGACACAGCAGCCACACUGUUCCCACAGAGGUGAGGUCUGGAAAGGAUCACCCAGGCCGGGAGACAUCUGUUUGGAGUGUGCAGUCAUCCUCCUCUCAUUAUUUCCUGAAACUCACGGAAAAACCUUAAGGCAGCCUCUUUGCUUCCAUCCCGUCCAGUCUUGGAUACAGAAAAAUAAUGGACUUCUAUAAGAGUUGCAACACCACGUCGUCUACUAGACAACUAACAGUGCAGGCGUCAUCCCUGGAAACACCCAUAAAAACGCAAGUCAAAUGACCACACCUGUAUUUCAAGUAAGCGACCUCCCUGCCCUGCUCCGCCAUCUCCCUGUCCCAGAUCUGAGUCUUGAUCUGGGGGAGAAAAAACACAUCCACCUUCAGUCGGAAGGUGGUGCCACACUGUGCACCAAAGAAAGAGGAGGAAACAAGAAAACACUUACCUAGUUGUCCUGAGCAUUCUUCUCGUGAACUGCAAGCGGAAAAAGCCAACAAGGAAAAGCCCGUGGUUAGGGAUUCCAAGGGCCACUACACUCACCCGCAUGAGGUGCUAAGGGUUCAGUAUGUCAGGCAGAACUCAGGUUACCUGGUAUCUAAAGGUGAGCUCUGCCUGCUGCAGCUGUUCCCGUGUUUGUUCAAUUUGUUGCCUGUGAGUUACAAUUGCUCUUGUCAGAUAAGGCCCAAUAUUGGGUAUGAUUUUAAAUAAGCUGCCCACGUUCCCACCAACCUCAUAUCUGUCCCCUGAUACAAUUUAUUCUUACACAUGAAACACUUUGCCCAUGAUUAUCAAUGUACAGUAGGAUCAAAGCUAUUGUCACAUCCUUUCCUUACUCAUUAUCCCAUGCCUGUAGGGUUCAGAGUUCAUAGAAUUCCUUCCCAUUUUCAAUCUUUCUCUAACUCAUCAUGUGACAAGUGUCUUUUAUCAUAAAGAUCUAUUCUUCUAUAACUUAUAUCCUCACCAUGUUUCCCAGGGUUGCAAAGAC